UUUUGAUUACGAUAAGCCCCAAAAGGCUAGCAAUCUUUACACAUCUUCAUUCUUCAGUCAACGACAAUUGUAUGUUAUUCGUUCAGUUAACCACAAUGAAAGAAACAGAAAUUGAAAUUUCAUCACUUCAAGUAACUCUACAAUUUUCAACGGCAUUCCAGAAUUAAUUAAUGCGACCUGUGAAUACAAAUUCUCAAAACGCAAAUCUCACGGUGAAUUUAACCCAACUCUCAAGACAAACUAUCCGGCUAGGGCGCGACACGAAGUUGACAAGAUAUAAAAAAUUUUGUGCUGAAGUGCAGCGGGUUCUAACGAUAAUUAAUGCAAUGGGGAACUGGCAAUUAGAAGUCGCUAAAAUGGUGUUGUACAUGGCAUUUCCAGUGGGUAUGUUCCACUACUUUAACCAGCCAGAAGUUUAUGAAAAUUGGGUCACAAAAACGAAACGUGAAAUCUACCCCAUGGUCAACAAAGAAGAGGAUGAGGCGUUGAGACGAAAAAUUAGGGAAAUACGUGAAAGACAGGACGCUAAGGCUUUUGAGGUGCUGGAAUCUAGUUUAAAUAAAUAGGUAAUUAGUAUUUGUCAUUCAUCAUUUAUUUGACACUAAACGUUUCUUAAUGCCGAGUUUUACAGCCAAUAGAAUAUAUUCAAAAUUAUUCAUUCAACUAGGUUCUUAAGCUGUUAAAAAUACUUUUCUAAAAAGCCAAUGAGUUUCAAAUAUAAAGUAAUGUUUAUCGUUGCUGAUAGGAAGUGCAAAUUCGUAGCUGACAGGGAAGUUCGAUGUUAUUUUUGUACGUCGUUCUCAUGCAAACCGGACGGUGCUGGCAAUAUAAAGGGAUCGGUGCAUUCACCAACGGGCUGUUCCAACCGAGGCUCAGACUCUAUAAUAAAUCAACAACCUGAUGUUUCAAUAAGCCAACGAUGAUGCAUGCCCAGCCUCCGAGAACUCAGACAAUUUAAUAACCCUUGAAGCCGAACAGAUUUUCCAAUAUAGAUUUCUGUAAUAAGUAAGUAUGUGAAUAAAAAACCAUUUUUCAGCAUUUAUUCAUAGUAGCAUAAUUUUUUUUUUUUUUAAUCCAUAUUAUUUUAUUGUGUUAAUCCCGAAAUAUAAAAGACUUAUUAGACUAAAAUGUACAGCUGUAUUUCAUAAAAAUUGUAUGAAUUUCUACAUAUUAAUUAUAUUGAUCAUAUGUACAUAUGUACAAAAUAGAGAUUUAUGGGAUUGAGUUAUUGUAACAAUGCAUGUUAAGAAAAUCCAUUAUUUCAUAGCCAAUGUAUAAUUUGAAAUUCAGUAAACCAUGAUAAAGUAAAGUAUGGUAAUAUUUUAAAAACUUGACUUCUACAAAGUCAAUCUGUAAUUGCAAAAUAAUGAUUUUUUACCUAACGGUUCAUGUAACGUUAACUUUAUUAACUUCAACUUCAUAGAUAUUUCACAUACAUCAGCUAUCUGUACUUUAGAAAAAUAAUUUAUAUAAUUAAAAUUUAAAUAUUGCUUCACGUCCUGUAUUAUGUGUGCUACCUAACUUCGUCCAACAAAUAAAAACCUUUAUUCAUAUGUUUUGUGAUUUGCUACAGUCAAUAAAUACCUCAGAGUACUUCGAGAAUUGAAAAUCAUGUGUGUAUAUAAGCGAUGAUAGUUCUAACUGACUACAGGUAUUAUUGCAGUACUUUCAUUGGUAUAUGGAAUUAUUAGACAGACAUGAAAUUUAUUGCUAAACCUAUUUUUAG